AGCAGUUUGGUGUAGUGGUUAUGCUGCUGGUUGUCAAUCAGUCACAUGAUACUUGUUUUUGGAGGUCCCGAGUUCGAAUCUCGGCACUGCCG
rnacentral:tRNA from 1 species